AUUAAGCAGUUGGAGGUGAGAGUGGGGUCAAAUAUUCCCAGGUAAUUGGCAUUCCCACCUCUUUCUUCUUUCAGUUACCAAUCCAAGAGCCUCCAGUGACCACAUCAUGGGAUCUACUUGCCCAAAUUCUGUGCUAUCUGAAUGUCUCUCAAGUAUUUAUAUGGCUAAAGCUUACAACAUCAAGGCCUAUUCAAAGGCUUUUAUUUGUGAGGUGUUAUUUGCCAAGCAGGCUGGCAUUGUUUGGAAUGUGGAACAUAUGGAUUUGUCUACCCUCCUCCAUUGGCCUUCCUGGCAGGAGAUCUCCUGUGAUUUGCACUGACUCUGACAGGCUGAGCCAGGUUGCCCAUUCCAUCCAGCCAAGCAGAGAAAGGAAUUGUGACAACUUGCUAUCUUAACAAGAUCUUGGAAAUAGGGGAUCCAGCAUCAUUUCCUUCUCAGGAACCUCUGAUUUGUUCAAGUAUGUUUGAACUGUCUGUAUGUGCUUUUGUCUGGACAAGAGAUGCAGAAAGGACAUUGUGUAAGUGCAGGGAAAACUGAUAGAAAGAUGGCGCUUUCCCUUCUCAACAGUGGGUGCCCAUACUGAUAGGAAAAUUGAGGACAGUUUAUAUCCCACUGGACAUGGAGAAAAGAAGCAGGAUAGAUUCAGGCAGUUUUUCUAGCUCUUCCACUGAGCAUGCUGGAGGAAGGAAAAAUCAAUCAGCCACUUUUUGAAGAUCUUGUAAUUAAGGAAGUUCAGAGGCAGAGCCUGGCAGGGAGGCCUCAGGCACUGGCUAGAUUCCUUUAUUCCCGGCAAAGUGUCAAUGAUGUAUCAGAUUCCAUUUUGGGGCAGUGGGGCUAGACAGUAACCCUGCCAUUGGAAACGUUACAAAUCAAAGUAAUUGACACAUGAAUGGACAGUAAACUACGUUGCCCAGGAGAAUAUUCUGCUGAAAGCAGAAUUUGUUUAUCUUAUCAUUCACUACCAAAAAGCUGCUCUGGGAAGAUGGAUGCAUUUCUCUUGGAUGCAAAUCAUGGGGCUUGCCCUAGAACUGAUUUCUGAGUCUCAAAAGUAUAGAGUUGCUCAUUUUCUUUGUGUUCUUAAGGUUACCUGAGAGUCUAGAUUCUAGAGCCCAAAGCUUUGUGAUGAUUUCAGAUGUGGCAACUGUGUUUGGUCUUCCUCUCUCCACUAAGGUCAAACCAUAUUUCUGGUGAAAAGAUCUUAAGAGUUCUUCAGUAGAAAGGAUCCAUAGGAUAUAACAACCUCUCUGAAACCUGACCUUUGACAGGCAAAUGACUGAAAUGUGCAGGAUGGAUGCUUACAGAUGUAAAACAUAAAAUGG
rnacentral:lncRNA from 1 species